rnacentral:rRNA from 1 species
GCGAGUCUGCCUUGAAGAUCGGAGUGCUUGCACUCUGUGAAACAAGAUACAGGCUAGCGGCGGACGGGUGAGUAACACGUGGGUAACCUGCCCAAGAGAUCGGGAUAACACCUGGAAACAGAUGCUAAUACCGGAUAACAACAGAUGAUGCCUAUCAACUGUUUAAAAGAUGGUUCUGCUAUCACUCUUGGAUGGACCUGCGGUGCAUUAGCUAGUUGGUAGGGUAACGGCCUACCAAGGCGAUGAUGCAUAGCCGAGUUGAGAGACUGAUCGGCCACAUUGGGACUGAGACACGGCCCAAACUCCUACGGGAGGCAGCAGUAGGGAAUCUUCCACAAUGGACGCAAGUCUGAUGGAGCAACGCCGCGUGAGUGAAGAAGGGUUUCGGCUCGUAAAGCUCUGUUGUUGGUGAAGAAGGACAGGGGUAGUAACUGACCUUUGUUUGACGGUAAUCAAUUAGAAGGUCACGGCUAACUACGUGCCAGCAGCCGCGGUAAUACAUAGGUGGCAAGCGUUGUCCGGAUUUAUUGGGCGUAAAGCGAGUGCAGGCGGUUCGAUAAGUCUGAUGUGAAAGCCUUCGGCUCAACCGGAGAAUUGCAUCAGAAACUGUCGAGCUUGAGUACAGAAGAGGAGAGUGGAACUCCAUGUGUAGCGGUGAAAUGCGUAGAUAUAUGGAAGAACACCGGUGGCGAAGGCGGCUCUCUGGUCUGUUACUGACGCUGAGGCUCGAAAGCAUGGGUAGCGAACAGGAUUAGAUACCCUGGUAGUCCAUGCCGUAAGCGAUGAGUGCUAAGUGUUGGGAGGUUUCCGCCUCUCAGUGCUGCAGCUAACGCAU